GGUUAUGGCCCAGUGGUAGAGCACUCACCUAGCACAUGUGAAGUGAUGGGUUCAAUCCCCAGCACCA
rnacentral:tRNA from 1 species